rnacentral:rRNA from 1 species
AACGGUCAUACCAUGGUGAAUAUACCGGUUCUCGUUAGAUCACCGAAGUCAAGCAUCAUUGGGCGCGGUCAGUACUUGGGUGGGUGACCACCUGGGAACACCGCGUGC